UCCCCGAUAGCUCAAUUGGUAGAGCGAGCGGCUGUUAACCGCUAGGUUCUAGGUUCAAGUCCUAGUCGGGGAG
rnacentral:tRNA from 2 species